rnacentral:rRNA from 1 species
AGUCACUGACAUUAGAUACCCGGGUAGUCCCAGCCGUAAACGAUGUGCGUUAGGUGUAUCGACGACCACGAGUUGUCGAGGUGCCGAAGGGAAACCGUGAAACGUACCGCCUGGGAAGUACGGUCGCAAGGCUGAAACUUAGAGGAAUUGGCGGGGGAGCACCACAACAGGUGGAGCCUGCGGUUUAAUUGGACUCAACGCCGGGAAUCUCACCGGAUAGGACAGCGGAAUGAUUGCCGGGCUGAAGACUCUGCAUGACUAGCUG